ACUUUCGUUUUUUGUUAUUUCUAUGUUCGUCCCUUCAUUCAGUCUUGUAAUGAUGGUCUCAAGUAGUAACAUUAGUAGCUGCCGUAACGACAGUCUGAAGUACUAACAGUGGCAGUCAGCCACAAGUGGCACCUGAACAGGGACUAACAGGGACAAACAGAGACCUGGAGGGACCUGAUAUGGACCUGAACGAAGAAGGUCUGCUUGAACAGAAAAAACUAAAACCCACUAGAAGAAUGAGAAAUCCCGCUACAAGUCCGCUGGCAGCAACAAGAGGUUUUCUAUCCCUUUCAUUUUUUUCUCCUUCUGGGACAACAAAUGGCAAACAGACACUACAGUUAAUUUUAACCAUUGGCAGUAAACAACUUCACUGUGACGACUAUUAGGCAACAAUCAUUUUAAGAAAGCUUCCCGGGUGACAGAGCCUGUGGUGCCAGAAACUCAUUGAAAAAACUAAAGCCACAGAUACAAAGUGCAACUGAGCCCUAUGGAUUAA